UACGGAGGAUGCAAGCGUUAUCCGGAAUUACUGGGCGUAAAGCGUCCGCAGGUGGCAAUUCAAGUCUGCUGUUAAAGUAUCUGGCUCAACCAGAGACAGGCAGUGGAAACUGAAUAGCUAGAGUGCGGUAGGGGCGGAGGGAAUUCCCAGUGUAGCGGUGAAAUGCGUAGAGAUUUGGAAGAACACCGGUGGCGAAAGCGCUCUGCUAGGCCGUAACUGACGCUCAUGGACGAAAGCUAGGGGAGCGAAUGGG
rnacentral:rRNA from 1 species